rnacentral:misc_RNA from 1 species
UUCUUCAUUUCUUCAAUCUUGAUAUUCACCUCUUAAGGUCAAGGUGCCGAAUAACGUGUGUCUCUGUUUUUUUCUUCGCUGCACCUGAGACUUUUUACAUUAAUUUUCUUUUAAUAUUGGCAUCAUGUACAAAAUUAAUUUAGUUGUGUUUCUAUUAGUGUCCGUUAGUAUAAUAGUGAAGUGUGAGACCAUAAAUGAAGAAAACGGCAGAGAAUCCACAGAACAAGAAAGCAUCCAACGAGGAAGAGAUUUAGGGUCGUACAUGGGGUUGGUCUCAUGUGCUAUUACAUAUGACGUGUCUUGUUUCGUUAAUGCUGCCGAAGAAUAUUUAGAAAAUAAAAGAAUAGAUCUACUUGCUGAAGCCGAUGCACAAGCUUUACAAUCAGGUAGAUCAGACAGUGCUGCCGAAAAGCCUUCCAGUCUUGCCCACAUGAUUGCAGAAUUAACUAAAUUAUUCGAAAAUGGAAUUGUUCGAUUUUUUACUAAAGAGAUCAACACUGAGGACGACGAGGAGAAUGUAGACAAUACUAAAUCGGACAAUUCGACUGAUAUUUCUAAUGAAGGUUUUAACUAACAAUAAGUUGGAUAAGGAAAUCAAUCUCACCAUCAUGCUUCCUGAAAAGUGCAUGUCAUACUUUUAUUACAUCAUCUAAAGUCGAAAAGAUGCUCUUAACUCAUUUCAUCCAGUUAAAAGCCCGAGGACAUAAGAAAAAAAAGCAUGAAGGCCUUAUCAAAAAAAUAAUCAGGACGGUGAAAACUGGCAUUUAUGCACUCGUGUUUGCCAUAAAACUAAUCACUGUACUUAUGAUGUUCAACUCAUUCGUAGGCUUUAAAAUGUUAAUGGUAGCCAUGUGGGGACUGGCAUUAUUUGCAGUGAAAAUAUGGAUUCUCCACAAAAAUGGAAACGAGCCAGUGGUAAUCCACGAAGAUGUUCAUCAUGAUCACCAUUACGAAGAUGAAGGCCACUAUGAACAUUUACCAGUUGAUGACUGGCAUGCGCAUAGGAAAGCCUACUCUGCUCAAAAACCUUCAUCUAGUUGGAAUUCGUGGCUUGAUAAAUAGAAAUUUUUUCAAGAAAUGCAGCGGGUCAAGACGUAAAAGAUUUAAUUUAUUUUUAGAUUAAGAUUGUGUAAGUAAAGCAAAAUAAAAACAAUUUCUUGAUUUU